rnacentral:rRNA from 1 species
GACGAACGCUGGCGGCGUGCUUAACACAUGCAAGUCGAACGGAAAGGCCCUGCUUUUGUGGGGUGCUCGAGUGGCGAACGGGUGAGUAACACGUGAGUAACCUGCCCUUGACUUUGGGAUAACUUCAGGAAACUGGGGCUAAUACCGGAUAGGAGCUCCUGCAGCAUGGUGGGGGUUGGAAAGUUUCGGCGGUUGGGGAUGGACUCGCGGCUUAUCAGCUUGUUGGGGGGGUAGGGGCUUACCAAGGCUUUGACGGGUAGCCGGCCUGAGAGGGUGACCGGCCACAUUGGGACUGCGAUACGGCCCAGUCUCCUACGGGAGGCAGCAGUGGAGAAUAUUGCACAAUGGGCGGGAGCCUGAUGCAGCAACGCCGCGUGCGGGAUGACGGCCUUCGGGUUGUAAACCGCUUUCGCCUGUGACGAAGCGUGAGUGACGGUAAUGGGUAAAGAAGCACCGGCUAACUACGUG